GUUGAUGUUCUUAUUUCAGAAAUACCUUGGGCAAUGUUACGUCCUCCAUUUUUCCAGCGAGGACUUCCUCGUUCCAUAAACUUUGGUGCCAUCGGUGGGCUUAUUGCCCACGAAAUGCUCCAUGCCUUCGACGCAAGCGCUAUCAUAAUCAAAAAGGUUGGAUCCAACGAAAAUCUGGAUUCUAACGAUACAGCGGUGUUUAAAAACAAAACGAAGUGUUUUUUCAACCAAUACAAAAACGCCAGCGAGACGUUGUG